UAAUACGAAAAGGAAAACAUUUUCUCCCAAAUCUCUCCGUAACCUAGUUUCGUAUUUUCUCUCUUCUUGACUUUCGAGAACUCUAUCAAUCGACGCUUCCACAAUUUGCUGAAACAGCAAAUCCCUUCGAUUUUUUUUUCCAGAUUAAGUUUCCUUUUCUCUCGUUCGCCUGAAGCGGAUCUAGCUGGUUAGGGCUUCUCGCUCUCGCCGUCGAGUUCUAUAACAGAAACAGAGAAUAAAAGGCUUCAUUCAAGAAGAAGAGACUUUGAACAAGAUUCAAGUGAUGAAGCGUGAUUAUGAUGAGACGAAAAUGAAAGAGUUAGAGUAGAUCAGCGUGACAACAUAUAACAUCACCUCAAACGCAAUGAUGACAAUGUUGGCCUUGACUCCGCGCUUCACACCGUCUCUCUAAGGUAAAUUCUCUGCAUGUCCUUAGACUUUCUCGUUUUGUUUUGAAGCGCUUUUAUCCCGGUUUUUUUUUUUGAGAUUUUUGAAAUCAGGAUUCCGUUUUGAACUGUUUUUUAUUUGACUCCGAUUUUCCUCUUUUUUAACAGGACUUUUAAAGCUUUUUGUUUUCUUGUGGUUUUAUCAAACCCAAGAGAUUAGGCAGACGUUCUUGUAAUGUUCCACCAAAUCUUGUUUGGGCAUUGUUUUGGUUUUGUUUUGUUUUUGUUUUUGUUUUUCAAACCCCAAAAAAGAUCAUAGACAGACACUAAUCUAAUAGUGUUCUGUCAGAUUCUUGUUUGGGAACAUUGUUUUGGUUUUGUUUUGUUUUUGUUUUUCAAACCCCAAAAAAGAUCAUAGACAGACACUAAUCUUAUAGUGUUCUGUCAGAUUCUUGUUUGGGAACAUUGUUUUGGUUUUGUUUUGUUUUUGUUUUUCAAACCCCAAAAAAGAUCAUAGACAGACACUAAUCUUAUGGUGUUCUGUCAGAUUCUUAUUUGGGAACAUUGUCCCUUGCUGCCUCUAAAAGAAACUUAUGCCAUCCCCUAUAGCAAGAUUGUUAAAUGGACCGAGAAUAUGGGUUGGUGGUGCAUGGAUAAAGAAGGGCGUUAGGGGAUGGCAAAUAAGAGCAUGCGGCUCAGUCUUAAGACAAAAGACUAUAACUGAAAACAGAUUCCGUACCCACGGCUUACAAAGAUUUAUUACCCACGGCUUACACAUGUCUUGACAAAGACAAAGAUUUAUUACCCACGGCUUACAAGUCUUAAAGACCAAAGACUUUUCUGUUUUCAGUUAUUUGAAUGGUACAGUUUGAGAAAGUCCUAAGACAAGGACUAUAACUGAAAACAUUGUCCCUUGCUGCCUCUAAAAGAAACUUAUGCCAUCCCCUAUAGCAAGAUUGUUAUUAAAUGGACCGAGAAUAUGGGUUGGUGGUGCAUGUAUAAAGAAGGGCGUUAGGGGAUGGCAAAUAAGAGCAUGCGGCUCAGUCUUAAGACAAAAGACUAUAACUGAAAACAGAUUCCGUACCCACGGCUUACAAAGAUUUAUUACCCACGGCUUACACAUGUCUUGACAAAGACAAAGAUUUAUUACCCACGGCUUACAAGUCUUAAAGACCAAAGACUUUUCUGUUUUCAGUUAUUUGAAUGGUACAGUUUGAGAAAGUCCUAAGACAAGGACUAUAACUGAAAACAUUGUCCCUUGCUGCCUCUAAAAGAAACUUAUGCCAUCCCCUAUAGCAAGAUUGUUAUUAAAUGGACCGAGAAUAUGGGUUGGUGGUGCAUGUAUAAAGAAGGGCGUUAGGGGAUGGCAAAUAAGAGCAUGCGGCUCAGUCUUAAGACAAAAGACUAUAACUGAAAACAGAUUCCGUACCCACGGCUUACAAAGAUUUAUUACCCACGGCUUACACAUGUCUUGACAAAGACAAAGAUUUAUUACCCACGGCUUACAAGUCUUAAAGACCAAAGACUUUUCUGUUUUCAGUUAUUUGAAUGGUACAGUUUGAGAAAGUCCUAAGACAAGGACUAUAACUGAAAACAUUGUCCCUUGCUGCCUCUAAAAGAAACUUAUGCCAUCCCCUAUAGCAAGAUUGUUAUUAAAUGGACCGAGAAUAUGGGUUGGUGGUGCAUGUAUAAAGAAGGGCGUUAGGGGAUGGCAAAUAAGAGCAUGCGGCUCAGUCUUAAGACAAAAGACUAUAACUGAAAACAGAUUCCGUACCCACGGCUUACAAAGAUUUAUUACCCACGGCUUACACAUGUCUUGACAAAGACAAAGAUUUAUUACCCACGGCUUACAAGUCUUAAAGACCAAAGACUUUUCUGUUUUCAGUUAUUUGAAUGGUACAGUUUGAGAAAGUCCUAAGACAAGGACUAUAACUGAAAACAUUGUCCCUUGCUGCCUCUAAAAGAAACUUAUGCCAUCCCCUAUAGCAAGAUUGUUAUUAAAUGGACCGAGAAUAUGGGUUGGUGGUGCAUGUAUAAAGAAGGGCGUUAGGGGAUGGCAAAUAAGAGCAUGCGGCUCAGUCUUAAGACAAAAGACUAUAACUGAAAACAGAUUCCGUACCCACGGCUUACAAAGAUUUAUUACCCACGGCUUACACAUGUCUUGACAAAGACAAAGAUUUAUUACCCACGGCUUACAAGUCUUAAAGACCAAAGACUUUUCUGUUUUCAGUUAUUUGAAUGGUACAGUUUGAGAAAGUCCUAAGACAAGGACUAUAACUGAAAACAUUGUCCCUUGCUGCCUCUAAAAGAAACUUAUGCCAUCCCCUAUAGCAAGAUUGUUAUUAAAUGGACCGAGAAUAUGGGUUGGUGGUGCAUGUAUAAAGAAGGGCGUUAGGGGAUGGCAAAUAAGAGCAUGCCGCUCAGUCUUUGACAAAGACUAUAAAUGAAAACAGAUUCCUUACCCACGGCUUACACAUGUCUUGACAAAGACAAAGAUUUAUUACCCACGGCUUACAAGUCUUAAAGACUUUUCUGUUUUCAGUUAUUUGAAUGGUACAGUUUGAGAAAGUCUUAAGACAAGGACUAUAACUGAAAACAGAUUCUUUACCCACGGCUUACAAAGAUUUAGUACCCACGGCUUGAGAGAAUUUGUUUUCAGUUAUUUGAAUGGUUAUGGUUUGAGAAAGUCUUAAGACAAGGACUAUAACUGAAAACAGAUUCAUUACCCACGGCUUACUAAUGUCUGGACAAAGACAAAGAAAAUGUAGGAGGUUUAAGACUUGUUGGAUUGGAAAUAACGACCAACAACCCAGAAAAAAGCCAUUAGUGGAUGGAAAAUAAGACCAACGGCUUAAGAAGAUCUCAAGACAGAGACUACUAAGAUUUAUUACCCACGGCUUACACAUGUCUUGACAAAGACAAAGAUUUAUUACCCACGGCUUACAAGUCUUAAAGACCAAAGACUUUUCUGUUUUCAGUUAUUUGAAUGGUACAGUUUGAGAAAGUCCUAAGACAAGGACUAUAACUGAAAACAUUGUCCCUUGCUGCCUCUAAAAGAAACUUAUGCCAUCCCCUAUAGCAAGAUUGUUAUUAAAUGGACCGAGAAUAUGGGUUGGUGGUGCAUGUAUAAAGAAGGGCGUUAGGGGAUGGCAAAUAAGAGCAUGCCGCUCAGUCUUUGACAAAGACUAUAAAUGAAAACAGAUUCCUUACCCACGGCUUACACAUGUCUUGACAAAGACAAAGAUUUAUUACCCACGGCUUACAAGUCUUAAAGACUUUUCUGUUUUCAGUUAUUUGAAUGGUACAGUUUGAGAAAGUCUUAAGACAAGGACUAUAACUGAAAACAGAUUCUUUACCCACGGCUUACAAAGAUUUAGUACCCACGGCUUGAGAGAAUUUGUUUUCAGUUAUUUGAAUGGUUAUGGUUUGAGAAAGUCUUAAGACAAGGACUAUAACUGAAAACAGAUUCAUUACCCACGGCUUACUAAUGUCUGGACAAAGACAAAGAAAAUGUAGGAGGUUUAAGACUUGUUGGAUUGGAAAUAACGACCAACAACCCAGAAAAAAGCCAUUAGUGGAUGGAAAAUAAGACCAACGGCUUAAGAAGAUCUCAAGACAGAGACUACUAAUUGAAAGCAGAUUCCUGAUUUCACUACUCAUGGCUUACAAAAGACAGAUCGGUAAAAAGACAUGUUGGAUGGGAAAAUAAUAUGAAAGACAAUGUCAAUGGGGCAGUUCUAAGCCUUACUGGAUGGAAAUUAACGACCAGCUGCUUAGAAAAAUUUGUUUGGGGAUGGCAAAUAAAACCAAACGGCUUAUAAGUCUCAAGGCAAAAAAAAAAAGACUGUGAUUUACUACCCACGGCUUUGUCCAAAUCUGUUUUCAGUUAUUCCAAUGGAAUGGAGUUAAUGACCACAGUUUGAGAAUGUCUUAAAGACAGAGACUAAGAACUGAAAACAGAUUCCUUACUUUACCACCCACGGCUUAUAAGUCUUAAAGACAAAAGACUUUUAUGAGAAUCUGUUUUCAGUUAUUUGAAUGGUACUGUUUGAGAAAGUCUUAAGACAAGGACUAUAACUGAAAACAGAUUCCUUACCCACGGCUUACAAAGAUUUAGUACCCACGGCUUGAGAGAAUCUGUUUUCAGUUAUUUGAAUGGUUAUGGUUUGAGAAAGUCUUAAGACAAAGAUUAUAACUGAAAAUAGAUUCCUUACCCGCGGCUUACAAAUGUCUUGACAAAGACAAAGAAAAUAGAUUCCUUACCCACGGCUUGAGAGAAUCUGUUUUCAGUUAUUUGAAUGGUUAUGGUUUGAGAAAGUCUUAAGACAAAGAUUAUAACUGAAAAUAGAUUCCUUACCCGCGGCUUACAAAUGUCUUGACAAAGACAAAGAAAAUGCAAGAGGUUAAGACUUGUUGGAUUGGAAAUAAGACCACACGGCUUACAAGUCUUAAAGACAAAAGACUUUUAUGAGAUUCUGUUUUCAGUUAUUUGAAUGGUACUGUUUGAGAAAGUCUUAAGACAAGGACUAUAACUGAAAACAGAUUCCUUACCCACGGCUUACAAAGAUUUAUUACCCACGGCUUACAGUUGUCUUGAUAAAGAAAAAGAAAAUGUGGGGUUUUGGAAAUAAGACCACAUGGCUUACAAGUCUUAAAGACAAAAGACUUUUAUGAGAUUCUGUUUUCAGUUAUUUGAAUGGUACUGUUUGAGAAAGUCUUAAGACAAAGACUAUAACUGAAAACAGAUUCCUUACCCACGGCUUACAGUUGUCUUGAUAAAGAAAGAGACAACGUGGGGUUUCUAAGGCUUGUUGGAGUGGAAAUAACGACCAACAGCCCAGAAAAAAAAAAGUCAUUAGUGGAUGAAAAAUAAGACCACACGGCUUACAAGUUUUAAAGACAAAAGACUUUUACGAGAAUCUGUUUUCUGUUACUUGAAUGGUACAGUUUGAAGAAGUCUUAAGACAAGGACUAUAACUGAAAACAGAUUUCUUACCCACGACUUACAAAGAUUUAGUACCCACGGCUUACAAAGAUUUAGUACCCACGGCUUGAGAUAAUCUGUUUUCAGUUAUUUGAAUGGUUACGGUUUGAGAAAGUCUAAAGACAGACUAUAACUGAAAACAGAUUCCUUAACUACGGCUUACAAAGGUCUUGACAAAGACAAAGAAAAUUUAGGAGGUUUAAGACUUGUUGGAUUGGAAAUAACGACCAACAGCCUAGAAAAUGUCAUUAAUGGAUGGAAAAUAAGACCACACGGUUUAGAAGUCUUGAGACAAAAGACUUUUAGUACCCACGGCUUUCAAAAUUCUGUUUUUGAUCUAUGGAUGGAUGGAGUAACGACCUACGGUUUAAGAAAGUCUUAAGACAAAGGCUACAAAUUGAAAGCAGAUUCCUUACUUCACUACUCAUGGCUUACAAGAAAAGAAUUGUUGGAUGGAAAUAUAUUGCAAUAGGGCAGGCAGUUAUUAGACUUGUGUCCAUCCGUAGAAGAAACAAGGUGGGCAUACUACGUAACUAAAGACUAAUUAUUUUUAUUUCCUCAGGUAUGUACUUCAGAAGGCGUUCAUAUUGUUUGGGAGAUUCUGAAGAGAUUUGAAGUGUAGAAGACUUCUGUGACAGUUAAAUUUGGAUGUCUGAGCACUUGCGACAUUCCGCAACGACAUAUUACAAUACGUUCUGAAGUUUGCAUCUUCCUUGCAGUUUUGUAGUUAAAUCUAUUGACCGUUUUGAAAAUUGUUUUGGUAUCGUACUAAAAUAUGUCUUUGGUCUAUUAGCCAUACAUAGUUGAUGGGCCGUGGAAAUCUAUUGAAUCAUGGUGUAUUCAUUUAAAAUGUGCAAUAGAUGUUUUCGCGGUUUUUCUUUGAUACUUUUGUUUUAAUAAUAUUUUUAUGAUUGAUGUAAAAAAAAACAGGAAAUGAAUAUUAUUUGAACUCUUAUUUUGCUCUCCUUUGUAUAUGUGCUUUAAUUUUCACUGUUAUUUAUUUAGGCUAAAUGUUAAAUUUCUAUUAUUUUUGGUACUUCAGUACAUAUUCUGAAUUAUUGUUUAAAGGUAAAUUCAGCUAUAUCCUUUAAUAUAUAUAUAUAUAUAUAUUAUUGUAUUUGUAUUGUCUGUUUCUUAAUCCAUAUGUAACAUUUCAGGAAGAUGGUAUUUAUUAUUAUUUGACUAUUUGUUAGUUUAAUACGGACAAUUUGAUUUUAGAUAAUAUUUUCUUGAUAGUAAUUUUUAUGUAUUUUGUAACUUUUUUAAAUGGCAGAAUUAGAAUAUGUCACUUAAAUGUGCAAUAGAUGUUUCUCGAUUUUCCUAUGAUACUUUGUUUUAAUAAUAUUUUUAUGAUUGAUGUCAAAAAUCAGGAAAAUAAUAUUAUUUGAACUCUAAUGUUGCUCUCCUUUGUAUAUGUGCUUUAGUUUUCUAUGUUAUGUAUUUUUGUAACUUUUUUAAAUGGUAGAAUUAGAAUAUGUCAUUUAAAUGUGCAAUAGAUGUUUCUCGGUUUUCCUAUGAUACUUUGUUUUAAUAAUAUUUUUAUGAUUGAUGUCAAAAAUCAGGAAAUUAAUAUUAUGUGAACUCUAAUGUUACUCUCCUUUGUAUACGUGCUUUAAUUUUCUCUGUUAUUUAUUUAGACUAAAUGUUAUAUUUUUAUUAUUUUAUUUUCUGUUCUAGGAACUGUAUUUUUAGUACUUCGGUACAUAUUCUGAAUUCUUGUUAAAAGGUAAAUUCAGCUCUAUCCUUUAAUAUAUAUAUAUUGAAUUUGUAUUGUCUGUUUUUUAUUCCAUAUGUAACUUUUCAGGAAGAUGGUAUUUAUUAGAUUUGACUAUUUGUUAGUCUAAUACGAACAAUUUGAUUUUAGAUUAUAUUCUCUUAAUGUUUUAUGUAUUUUUGUAACUUUUUUUUUAAUGGAGAAUUGAUCUACACCGGUUUGGCUUGCUAGAUCGGCUGGAGAUUCUAGUUAGUAUUUGAAUGUUGUUGUCAAAAAAAAAAUAAUAAUGGAGAAUUAGAAUAUGUUACUUAUUAGACAUGGAUCUUGCAUUUUAGCUCACUAGUCCUUCGCUGUUAUGUCUAAAUGUGAUCUUAAUUUUCUAAUAUGGUCCAAUUAUAUACCAUCUUAACAUUUUUGAAAAAAUAGGAACAGACGAACAGUUAGUAAAUUAUCAAUUAUUUUCUUAAAAUAUAAUUUGAUGCAAAACUAUAAUACAUGUUUUCAAAUAUAUUUCGUAAGUAGUUUUGUAAUUGUUAAUGUCAUAUAAUGUUAUGUUUGGGCUCAACCCAGCUAAUAAAUGUUUCAAACGAGAAGUCAGUUUAGCUCACUAGUCCUUUGUUAUGUCUGAAUGUGAUCUUAAUUUUCUAAAAUGGUCCAAUUAUAUAUACCAUCUUAACUUUUUCGAAAAAUAGGAACAGACGAACAGUCAGUAAAUUAUCAAUUAUUUUCUUGAAAUAUAUUUUGAUGCAAAACUAUAAUACAAGUUUUCCAAAUAUAUUUUGUAAGUAGUUUUAACUAUUUGUAAUUGUUGAUGUCAUAUAAUGUUAUGUUUGGGUUCAACCCAACUAAUAAAUGUUUCAAACGAAACGAGACGUUAGUUGUUUCCAUUCUAAAUAAUAUAAUGACUUGAUUAUGUAGAUUAUCAAUAGAGGAAAUUCCUUAAAAACACGCGGACCAAUUUUCAUUUGCUAAUAAAAUACACUAACUAUUUUGGAUCCUUGUUUAAUACACGAACUAAUUUUUGUUGCCUAUUAAAUACACAAAUUUUUGAAAUUCGCAGGUUAACGACAAUGACGACGGCGUUAGUGUUUAAUUAACACGUGUUUAAAUUUUGAAAAUAUUUUUUUUUAAAUACACAAACUAUUUUUCAUUUGCUAAUAAAAUACACAAACUAUUUUUGGAUCCUCGUUUAAUACACAAACUAAUUUUUAUUUUCUAUUAAAUACACAAACUUUUAAAAUUUGUAGAUUUUACGCAUCAAUUUAGACGAUGUCAACUAUGUUUAACAGAAAUGAAGUCAAUGUUUUAAUUAAACAAGUGGUUUAAGUGUGAAAAAUGCUCACCCUCAGCCAAUUGAAAUUAAUUUGAGUUAGUUUCAAUUUGAGUUUGGCACUCUAAAAUGUUCCAACCUCUUUUAUUCUCCAAACUAUGUUUCUUUUCUUCUUAUUUACUUUGAUUUCCCUUUAUAUCGAUUCGAAGUGGAGUCGAUUUCCAUGUCGUGAAAAAGGAUGAAGAAAACUACGUAAUUUUAAACAAGUUUCUGAUUUUGGAAUUAGUUUAGUGUUAUGCAUUUCUAAUUCUUGUCUUCGCUUUGAUAGUAGUGAUAAUGAUUCAAGGUUAAUUUACAUUAUGAUAAAUAAUUUUAGUGUUAUGAAUUAAGUUCUACGUAUAUUCUUUCUACUAUGAUUAAAAAAUUUGAAAUUUCAUUAAAAAAAAUUUACACUAUGAAGCGUCACUGGAGAAGCAAGCUAACAAUAUAAUAUAUCGGAAGGCCUUUAAGGAACUUUUUCUUCACAGUUUAACCAUAUGUUCAAUUAAACAAUAACAUUGUUUUCACUUCUGCUAAACAUAGUUCACUUCUGCUAAAUUUGAAAAUUUUAAAACUUUGUGUAUUUAAUAGAAAAAAAAAUAGUUUGUGUAUUAAACGGGGAUCCAAAAUAGUUCGUGUAUUUUAUUAGCAAAUGAAAAGUAGUUUGUGUAUUUUUAAGAAAUUUUCUUUUUACAAUUUAAAAACAUAUUAAUUAAACACUAACGUCGUCGUCAUUUCCGUUAAAUAUAGUUAACGCGUCUAAAAUGAUGUGUAAAAUCUGUGAAUUUCAAAAGUUUGUGUAUUUAAUAGGUAACGAAAAUUAGUUAGUGUAUUUUAUUAGCAAAUGAAAAUUCGUCGGUGUACUUUUAAAAAAUUUUCCCUUAUCAAUAUUAUUAAUUUAUGAUCACUCUUAUUUUUUGUCUUUACCCCUAUCUGGUAUAUUACUUAAAAUGCCACUGGACCUACUCUUUUUUUUCAAAACUGAUUAUUUCAUAACUGUUUCUAAUUAUUUACUAACUCUAACCACAAUCCCUUAUUAUUUGUCUAACCAUUCAUUUUUGAGAACUCGAUCUUGUAAUCGAGAAAACCCGUCCUGAGAGGUACUUUUGUCACGAGCUGGCUUAACCCAUCUCCUUACCAUCAAGCCUGGAUAAGCAACAUCUGAAAAG